GUAAGAAGGGAUUCUAAUCAACAUAUAGAAAGCCCCCAUCUUUUUCUUUGCCUUCCUCUUUACUCUAUUCCUCUUCUCCCCCCACGCCCCCACCUCUCCGCUCUCACUCUCCAUCUCUCAUCUCACCCCCUAACUGCCCUUUUUGUCUCUCUACAUCUUUCUUUUCGCGGAUUUUUAUUGUCUAUUUUGGGUUUUAAGCAUAUCUGCUGCAUAAGCCUCUCAAUCCUCUGUGUGCAACCCACAAGGGAAAAACCUUGGUAAAACCCAGACUGCGAUGGAGGAGAAUAGCACAGCAAGUAAUGUGGCUCGAGCCAUUGUGGCUGCCCUUGACUGGAGCUCCUCCCCCGAUGCCAGAAAAGCCGCUGUUUCUUACUUAGAAUCUAUAAAAGCAGGGGAUAUACGUGUCUUGGCAAGUACUUCCUUCCUUUUAGUCAAGAAGGAUUGGUCUUCUGAGAUUCGGUUACAUGCAUUCAAAAUGUUACAGCAUUUGGUUCGGUUGCGAUUGGAGGAAUUAAACUCCACUGAAAGAAGAAACUUUGCAAAUCUUGCUGUUGAUUUGAUGUCAGAGAUUGCAAAUCCUUGUGAAGAGUGGGCUUUAAAAAGUCAGACAGCUGCUCUUGUUGCUGAGAUAGUUAGGAGAGAAGGCCUUAGUCUUUGGCAAGAGCUGCUACCAUCCCUAGUUUCCCUAUCCAACAAUGGUCCUAUACAAGCUGAGUUGGUUGCAAUGAUGCUAAGGUGGCUUCCUGAAGAUAUCACAGUUCAUAAUGAAGAUUUAGAAGGUGAUAGGCGAAGGCUAUUGUUGCGUGGGCUUACCCAGUCUUUGUCUGAAAUUUUGCCAAUGUUGUAUACUUUCCUAGAAAGACACUUUGGAGCGGCAUUGAAUGAAGUGGGUAGGCAACAAUUGGAUGCUGCAAAACAGCAUGCUGCAACAGUCACAGCUACUUUAAAUGCUGUUAAUGCAUAUGCUGAAUGGGCUCCUUUAUCUGAUCUUGCAAAAUAUGGCAUUAUUCAUGGGUGUGGUUUCUUACUUUCUUCUCCUGAUUUCCGUCUUCAUGCCUGUGAGUUUUUCAAACUUGUCUCUUCAAGGAAGAGACCUGUUGAUUCCUCUUCUUCUGAAUUUGAUUCUGCAAUGAGUAAUAUCUUUCAGAUCCUGAUGAAUGUCUCUAGAGAUUUCUUAUAUAAGUCUACUUCCAGUGGUGUGGUUAUUGAUGAAAGUGAAUUUGAGUUUGCGGAAUAUAUAUGUGAGAGUAUGGUGUCUCUAGGUUCUUCGAACUUGCAAUGUAUCACUGGGGACAGCACUAUUCUUUCUCAUUAUCUUCAACAGAUGCUGGGAUACUUCCAACAUGUUAAGCUGACACUUCAUUACCAAUCGCUGCCCUUUUGGCUGGCAUUAAUGAGAGAUUUAGUGUCCAAGCCAAAGAUUGUUGCACCUGCAGCUGGAGAUGGUUCAGUUGAUAAUAAUCCAGGCUCUGGUUCUGGACAGGUUGAUAAUGAAAAGAGAAAGCUUCAAAGUUUUGUUAAUGAUGAUAUUUGCGGUACUAUGUUGGAUGUAUGUUUCCAACGCCUGCUCAAAAGAGAGAAGGUUCUUCCUGGAACAUCAUUUUCUCUAGGGCCAUUGGAGUUGUGGAGUGAUGAUUUUGAGGGCAAAGGAGAGUUCAGCCAGUAUCGCUCUAGGCUGUUGGAGCUGGCCCGCUUUGUUGCUUCAGAUAAACCCCUUAUAGCUGCUAUAAAGGUUUCUGAGAGAAUUGCCACAAUCAUUAAGAGUCUCUUGCUUUCACCGAUGUCUGCUCAGGACAUUGCUGUGAUGGAAAGCAUGCCAAUGGCGUUAGAGAAUAUUGCAAGUGUGGUUUUUGAUGGAUCUAAUGAAUAUCUUGGGGGUAGUUCUGAAACUCAACUUGCGCUUUGCAGAAUAUUUGAAGGUUUGCUUCAGCAACUUCUUUCUUUGAAAUGGACUGAACCGGCACUUGUGGAAGUACUCGGGCACUAUUUAGAUGCAUUGGGUCUCUUCCUGAAAUAUUUUCCAGAAGGAGUUGGAAGUGUCAUCAAUAAACUGUUCGAGCUUCUGACUUCACUUCCUUUUGUUGUUAAGGAUCCUAAAACAAGUAGUGCCCGUUAUGCAAGGUUGCAGAUCUGUACAUCAUUUGUUCGGCUUGCCAAAUCGGCUGAAAAAAGUCUCCUGCCUCACAUGAAGGGGAUAGCUGACACCAUGGAUUAUCUGCAAAGAGAAGGCUGUUUGCUUCGUGCGGAGCAUAAUAUUCUUGGUGAAGCGUUUCUUGUCAUGGCUUCUGUUGCUGGGGUUCAACAGCAGCAAGAAGUUUUGGCGUGGUUACUUGAACCUUUGAGCAAACAGUGGAUACAGGUAGAAUGGCAACAAACGUAUUUAUCUGACCCAACAGGUCUUAUUCGCCUGUGUUCUGAGACAUCAUUUAUGUGGUCAAUUUUCCACACUGUGACAUUCUUUGAGAGGGCACUUAAGAGGAGUGGGAUUAGAAAAGGCAGUUUGAAUUCACAGAACAGUUCAACAGCAAGUUUUACUCCUUUGCAUCCGAUGUCUUCUCAUCUCUCAUGGAUGCUACCUCCUCUUCUGAAGCUGCUUCGUGCUAUACAUUCUCUUUGGUCUCCUCCUGUAAGUCAAUCAUUACCUGGGGAGAUAAAAGCUGCAAUGAUCAUGAGUGAGGUUGAACGAACUAGUCUUCUUGGGGAAGUGAACCCUAAAUUGUCAAAGAGUGUAGCAGGUUUUAUUGAUGGAUCUCAGAUUGACACGAAUAAGGAGUAUGCAGAAUCACAUGAAACUGACAUACGAAAUUGGUUGAAAGGCAUCAGAGAUAGUGGGUAUAAUGUAUUGGGCUUGUCAACGACAAUUGGUGAUUCCUUCUUCAAAUGCUUGGAUAUUAGUUCUCUUGCUAUAGCACUAAUGGAGAAUAUACAAUCAAUGGAGUUCAGGCAUAUAAGGCAGCUCAUCCAUUCAGUUUUGAUUCCUUUGGUUAAAUUUUGCCCUUCAGAUUUGUGGGAGGAGUGGCUGGAAAAGCUCCUUCAUCCAUUAUUUAUUCAUUCUCAGCAAGCUCUUAGCUGCUCAUGGUCUUGUCUUCUACGUGAAGGGAGAGCCAGGGUUCCAGAUGUACAUGCCAUACUUGCUGGAUCAGACUUAAAAGUGGAAGUAAUGGAGGAAAAGCUACUUCGUGAUUUAACUCGUGAGAUAUGUGCACUUCUCUCAGUUUUAGCUUCACCAGGACUGAAUACUGGGCUUCCUUCUUUAGAACAGUCUGGGCAUGUCAGCCGUGGGGACAUGUCUUCCCUCAAGGAUUUGGAUGCAUUUGCAUCAACCUCUAUGGUUGGUUUCCUUUUGAAGCAUAAGGGUCUGGCUCUUCCACUAUCGCAGAUAAGUUUAGAAGCUUUUACAUGGACGGAUGGUGAAGCUGUGACUAAAGUUUCUUCCUUUUGUGGAGUUGUGGUUCUUCUAGCUAUUUCAAGUUCCAAUGUAGAACUUCGGGAAUUUGUCGCUAAAGAUUUAUUUUAUGCAAUUAUCCAAGGUUUGGCCCUUGAGUCAAAUGCUUUUGUCAGUGCCGAUUUGGUUGGUCUCUGUCGUGAGAUCUUUGUGUAUCUUUCAGAUAGAGACCCAUCUCCACGGCAGGUUUUGCUGUCUCUCCCUUGCAUUACACCCUAUGAUUUGCUUGCUUUUGAAGAAGCUUUGGCAAAGACAUCUAGCCCUAAGGAGCAAAAACAGCAUAUGAAAAGCUUGCUUCUAUUAGCCACAGGAAACAAGUUAAAAGCACUUGCUGCUCAGAAAAGCAUGAAUGUGAUUACAAAUGUUUCAACAAGGCCUCGCAGUAUGGUUAAUGCUUCAGAACCCAGGAUUGAAGAAGGGGAUUCUGUGGGAUUAGCAGCCAUUUUGUAAGAUCUAUAGUAGUGAUCAUCAUAGAGUUCCUGUACAGAGUAAACUCAAAAGAAGAAUCAAAUCUUAUCUCAGAAAUACGGUGAAGGAGACCGCGUUUUACCCUGACCGGUGAGGACAUAGAAGGUUGAAUAGAAGUUACUCAUCUAAAACUCCAUUAUUCCUUGCCUCUCCCUUGUAAAUUAGCCUAAUCACUUUGUUGUCAAGGAUCAGAUUAUGAAGAAGGAACUUCGAGGCAAGCUUGAAAAUGACUUGUACAAAUUUCGAGUGUCAGAUUCUCAAAAUAUUCCUGUGGUUUCUGCUGCUUAUCCAAUUGUUCUAGCUAAUAAUGUUGUUUCCUUCUUUUCUGUUAAUAAUGUCUUUGAGGUUUGACAUUCUCGUUUAAGUCAUCCUUCUAUGGAGGUUGUGAAGAGAGUAUUAUCCCUUUGUAAUAUUCCUGUUAAUUGUCAUAAAAAUACUGUUUGCUCUACUUGUCAAUAUGCUAAAGUCAUGGUUUACCAUUUUCUUUA